AUUGAACGCUGGCGGCAGGCCUAACACAUGCAAGUCGAGCGGUAGCACAGAGAGCUUGCUCUCGGGUGACGAGCGGCGGACGGGUGAGUAAUGUCUGGGAAACUGCCUGAUGGAGGGGGAUAACUACUGGAAACGGUAGCUAAUACCGCAUAACGUCGCAAGACCAAAGUGGGGGACCUUCGGGCCUCAUGCCAUCAGAUGUGCCCAGAUGGGAUUAGCUAGUAGGUGGGGUAACGGCUCACCUAGGCGACGAUCCCUAGCUGGUCUGAGAGGAUGACCAGCCACACUGGAACUGAGACACGGUCCAGACUCCUACGGGAGGCAGCAGUGGGGAAUAUUGCACAAUGGGCGCAAGCCUGAUGCAGCCAUGCCGCGUGUGUGAAGAAGGCCUUCGGGUUGUAAAGCACUUUCAGCGGGGAGGAAGGCGAUAAGGUUAAUAACCUUGUCGAUUGACGUUACCCGCAGAAGAAGCACCGGCUAACUCCGUGCCAGCCGCCGCCGUAAUAC
rnacentral:rRNA from 1 species